GUACCCUAUGAACCUGACUCUGUGGUCAUGGCAGAAGCUCCUCCUGGGGUAGAGACAGAUCUUAUUGAUGUUGGAUUCACAGAUGACGUGAAGAAAGGAGGCCCUGGAAGAGGGGGUGGUGGCUUCACAGCACCAGUUGGUGGACCUGAUGGAACGGUGCCAAUGCCCAUGCCCAUGCCUAUGCCAUCUGCAAAUACGCCUUUCUCAUAUCCACUGCCAAAGGGACCAGUAAGUAUACAUAAGUGUGGAUGUAAGCUUUAGAAAAUGUUAUAGAUAACAAGUUGGCUCUGUGAACACACUCAGGAAUCAUAGGUUGUCAGGAGCCAUUAGCAGUAAGAACAUUUGGUAUUAGCUGGCAGUCAUCUUGUGGGGAAAAAACACAUUGGAUUCAGAGAAGGUCUUUUAGUUCAGCUGUAGGAAAAUCUAUAGAGUUGGUGCUAGAAAAACACUUUUCAUAUAGGUUUACUGAAUAUCUUUGGGAU
rnacentral:sRNA from 1 species